CGGGAUGAGCUCAAAUUUGAAAUCUGGCUGGUUUGACCGGUCCGAGUUGUAGUUUAAAGAGGCGUUUUCGGUGACAGCCUGGGUACAAAUCCUUUGGAACAGGGUAUCAUAGAGGGUGAGAAUCCCGUCUCUGACUCAGUGCAUGCUACUAUGUGAUACGUCUUCAAA
rnacentral:rRNA from 1 species